GAUGAACGCUGGCGGCGUGCCUAAUACAUGCAAGUCGAGCGAACAGACGAGGAGCUUGCUCCUCUGACGUUAGCGGCGGACGGGUGAGUAACACGUGGAUAACCUACCUAUAAGACUGGGAUAACUUCGGGAAACCGGAGCUAAUACCGGAUAAUAUAUUGAACCGCAUGGUUCAAUAGUGAAAGACGGUUUUGCUGUCACUUAUAGAUGGAUCCGCGCCGCAUUAGCUAGUUGGUAAGGUAACGGCUUACCAAGGCAACGAUGCGUAGCCGACCUGAGAGGGUGAUCGGCCACACGGGAACUGAGACACGGUCCAGACUCCUACGGGAGGCAGCAGUAGGGAAUAUUCCGCAAUGGGCGAAAGCCUGACGGAGCAACGCCGCGUGAGUGAUGAAGGUCUUCGGAUCGUAAAACUCUGUUAUUAGGGAAGAACAAAUGUGUAAGUAACUAUGCACGUCUUGACGGUACCUAAUCAGAAAGCCACGGCUAACUACGUA
rnacentral:rRNA from 1 species